rnacentral:lncRNA from 1 species
UGAUAUACUGGGGUAGAUUUAAUAUUCCUAUAAAACAUCCAAGAUGUCAAUGGAAUUAUAAUAGAAGACUAACACUAACUUUACCUUUCAUUGUUGUGGGGUUGAUAAAAUAAAGUAGCAGUGAUAUACUGGGGUUGAUUUAAUCCUUAAGCAUUCAGAUUGCUCUCUCAAAUGUAAUGCUUAUGUAUUUGUAUUGUUUUAAACUAAUCGUGCAUUAUCUCAUAGUUUUGAGAUUUCGAUGAUGUGUUUAUUUUAGAAUAACAUUGUAGGGGAAGUGGGAGAAGUCAGAUCUGAUCGAUUUGACGAUAAAACAGGUAGAAUAUUUUGCUUGAUUUAAAUGCUAACGUGUUAAUUAGGUGUGUUAAUUUUCCAGGCAUGGUAUCUCAGUUAUUCACAUUUAUAUGCAUGCACACACUUGAAAAACGCCGCUCACAACAUCAUAAGCAGAAAGUGUAACCUCUCAAAAGAGCUGUCCUUCAUUCCUGCUCCAGAGUGUCGGCUGCGGGGUCACUCCGAAAAGCUCUAUCUGCGACGAUUUCAUCUCAAUCGAAGGAGAGGGGCUUUCUCCGUCUGGGUUGCAGAUCCAUGGAAUAAGCUGCCGGACGAGAUGGUGAAGAUGCCGACGACUGCUUGGUUCAAAGUCUCUCUUGACCAGAAAUGGCCUGAACUCUUUACAUGAACACCACCUUGUACUUAACUCCAUGUCCCCCUACAUGGCCUUGCUUUUUGCUUUUUGAGCCAAAAAAUUAUCUAACUAACUAACUAACUAACAUGCUUGUGGUAGCUGUAACAUGAUUUUGAGUAAGGUCAGCACUUGAUGGUCCUCUUAAACGUGAUCAGCAAGGAUGUGGUUUUCAGGUCUUGCUUAGAACUCCUGUUCUUUUGUACAGAUACAGCAACAAUGGAUGCCUUUUUCGCUGAGACCCACAAAAGCCUUAUGAGUGAAUUUCGGAGACACAAACUCGAAAGAAAUUUUUCUCGUUAUUGUCGUUGUGUUUACUCUCCAUUACUGCUUGACAGUUGAAGUUCGUUUAUGUCUCCAUAACUUUGUGGUCCAGCAAAAAAGAUAUAUAUAAUGUUGAGAUAAUAUUCCUAUACUUUCGUAGAGUAGAAAUUUAUUAUACUUCAACAUAAAUGUUGACAGUGACUUUGAAGGCAGUCUGAUGGUGGCUUAGCAGGCUGAAGCUCAGAAAUCACUGUCAACAAUGUACUUGUUUAGAGAAUAAAAUAUAAACACACACACAUAUGAAGGAAAAUAGGGAUUAAGUAAAUACAGGUGUACAUAUAUAUAUAUAUAUAUAUAUAUAUAUAUAUACCUAUAUGGUUUUAUUACAUGCUGACUACUUAUUAAAAUCUUAUAACGAUUUUAUCUUGAUGUUAUAUAUAUAUAUAUAUAUAUAUAUCAUCAUCAUCAUGUGGCAUGUGUAAAAAGAUUCUAGUGAGGUCGUUGCCAGUACCGCCUGACUAGCCCCAUGCCGAUGGCAUGUAAAAAGCACCCACUACACUCUCGGAGUGGUUGGCGUUAGUAAGGGCAUCCAGCUGUAGAAACUCUGCCAGAUCAAGAUUGGAGCCUGGUGCAGCCAUCUGGUUCGCUAGCCCUCAGUCAAAAUCGUCCAACCCAUGCUAGCAUGGAAAGCAGACGUUAAACGAUGAUGAUGAUGAUGAUGAUAUAUAUAUACUAAGGCUGCACCAGGCUCCAGUCUAGAAACUCUGCCAGAUUAGACUGGAGCCUGGUGCAGCCUUCUGGCUUCCCAGAACCCCGGUCGAACCGUCCAACCCAUGCUAGCAUGGAGAACGGACGUUAAACGAUGAUGAUGAUAUAUAAAUAAUUUGGGAAAACAAAUUUGCAAAUCAAUCAGGUGCAACCCUUCAGCUUACUUUGGGGGUCUCAUUUAUCGUAUAUUUAUAUAUUUAUCUAUAAAUAUACAAAGUAUCUGAUAAAAGUCAAUAUUCAAUUUUCGGGGAUGAAUCGAUAUGCAGGUAUUCUAUUUCAGAUAAUACUAAAAUAACCUAAUGACUAUAUAUCUGACAGUAAACUCAUGGUAUCAGUUUGCACAUCACGAAAUAAUACUUAAAGGAUAUAAGCAAAAUUACCAGCUGGGUAUAUAAUAUACUUCAUUAAUUAUAUCAUACUUUAGUUAAUACUUAUAUGUAUGAAAUAGAAUACUCGCAUAUUGAUUAAUCCCCCAAAAUUGAAUAUAUAUACAUAUAUACACACAUGCAUACAUAUAUGCACACACAUCCAUAUAUAUAUAUCUCCCCUACUUUCCUCUUCGUGUUUGACCCUUCUGUCCGGCACAAGUUGCCAUGAUAGAUCGUUAGCCACUACACACAUUUUCUUCUCUCCUUGUUUUAUUCUGUGUCCCUUUCUGUAGAAGAGCGUAGGCUCAAAACGUAAAAGACUUUUUCUAUUCCUGAGCGCUAUACUAAUACAUCUGUUUGUUUUCUACACCACCUGUCUUCGUCUUUUGUUUUUUCGUAAACUCUCCCUAUAUAUAUAUAUAUAUAUAUAUAUAUAUAUAUAUAUAUAUAUAUAUAUAGGCGUGGCUGUGUGGUAAGUAACUUGCUUACCAACCACAUAGUUUUGGGUUCAGUCCCAUUGCGUGGCACCUUGGGCAAGUGUCUUCUACUAUAGCCUCGGGCUGGUUAAGGCCUUGUGAAAGGAUUUGGUAGACAGCAACUGAAAGAAGUCGUAUAUAUAUAUAUAUAUGUGUGUGUGUGCGUAUUUACAUCCCCGUAACUUAGCGGUUUGGCAGAAGAGGCUGAUAGAAUAAGUUCUAGGCUUACAAAGUAAAAGUCCUGGGGUCGAUUUGUUUGACUAAAGGCAGCACUCCAGCAUGGCCGCAGUCAAAUGACUGAAACAAGUAAAAUAAUAAAAGAAUAUACUCACACACAUACACAUAUGUAUACACACAUACGUACAUACAUAUACAUACAUAUAUAAACAUAUGAUAUAAUUCAAAGGAAUUCCAACUCUGUUUUUUAUAUUAUAUUUAUAUUCUUUAUAAUAUUAAUGUAGAAUAUAGAAUAUAUAGUAUAAAUAAUAUAUAUAUAUAUAUAGUAAAAUGAAAUGAAGUAUUGAUUGUCUAAUUGAAUAGAUGAAAUAUUGAAUAUCAAAUAUUAAGGGACUAUUAUACUUUCUUGCAUUAAAGCAGUCUUCAAGGUCCCAGGUUGUGACAGGAGUGUUUCAACUAUAUAUAUAUAUAUAUAUAUAUACACACACACACAUGCAUACACUUAUAUACACUCACCUGUAUGUACAUAUAUGCAUCUAACUGUUUUUUGUUUUGUUUGAAAUCUAUCUAUAGAUGUGUUUGUACAUCAGCAUGUACACGCCUAUAUAUUUUUGAUGUGUAUAUAUAUAUAUAUAUGUGUGUGUGUGUGUGUGUGUCUGUGUAAAUAUACUUGCAUGGCAUGUAGAGUGUGCAUCAAUAAAGGGUGCUCUAUUUUUAACAACCUACCCAACCCACCCCCUCAUUAUUGAUGUCAGCUCUGCAUGUUUGUGUGUGUGUGUGUGUUACUACAUUGCGCGACUUGUUUUGAAAUCAGUCAGUGAAAAAAAACCGUGUGGGUGGCUGUUUGUCUGUCCGUGCGUCACUUUGUGCAAAAUGGUAUUUUGUAGGAAUAUAUAUAUCCUUGACAAUUAGGAAUCUUUUCUCUGUAUAUGUAUAUCCCUUCUCAAUCUCUCUCUCUCUCUCUCUCUCUCUCUCUCUCUCUAUAUAUAUAUAUAUAUAUAUAUAUAUAUAUACUCUUACUCUUUACUCUUUUACUUGUUUCAGUCAUUUGACUGCGGCCAUGCUGGAGCACCGCCUUUAAUCGAGCAACUCGACCCCGGGACUUAUUCUUUUGUAAGCCCAGUACUUAAUCUAUCGGUCUCUUUUGCCGAACCGCUAAGUAACGGGGACAUAAACACACCAGCAUCGGUUGCCAAGCAAUGCUAGGGGGACAAACACGGACACACAAACACACACACAUACAUACAUAUAUACGACGGGCUUCUUUCAGUUUCCGUCUACCAAAUCCACUCACAAGGCUUUGGGCGGCCCGAGGCUAUAGCAAGAAGACACUUGCCCAAGGUGCUACGCAGUGGGACUGAACCCGGAACCAUGUAGUUGGUAAACAAGCUACUUACCACACAGCCACUCCUGCGCCUAUAUGUAUGUAUAUAUAUAUAUAUAAUGUGUGUGUAUUUGUAUAUAUAGAAGUGUGCUUACAAUUAUGUUGUGUAUUUCGCAGCUGGAGGUAUUUCUAUCUUUUAGUUUUAUAAUAUGUAUUGUGUUAAUAAAUGUAUGUUUACACUUACAUAUACACUCGUGAUCCCUGCUGUAUAUAUUCUUGCUCAUGUGUGCACACACAUGUUUGUAUCUAUCUACCUACCUAUCUAUCUGUAUAUAUAUAUAUUUACACAUGCUUGUCUGUAUGCACACUGUUUGUGUGUAUAUAUCUAUCUCUCUCUCUCUCUCUCUCUCUCUCUCUCUCUCUCUAUAUAUAUAUAUAUAUAUAUAUAUAUAAAUAUAUAUAUAUAUACCGGAGUAAACACAUAAAUGUGAAACAAGGUGGAAAAAAGAGUACUCAAAUACCACUGGUAGAGUAAUAUGCUUUAUUUUAAGCAGCAGAAAAUUCAACAAAAUCUGUUGAAUUUUGUUGAAUUUUCUGUUGCUUAAAAUAAAGUAUAUAUAUAUAUAGAUAUAGAUAGAUAUAUACACACAUUUUCAAAAUGUGACCUCGUGUGUACCGUUGGUGAUUUUUUUUUUUUUUCCCUCCGUCUUCCCUUCUCUGGAUCUUUCUUUCUCCUAUGUUUCCGACGAAGAGCUCCGCUCGAAACGUUAAACCUUCCUUCUUUCCUUCUUUCCUGAGCGUCCAAUAAUACUAUAUUUGUUCCACGUCCUCGCGUUGUUGGGUUUUUUUGUGCUUUCUUGUUUGGAUUAACUUUAUAUAUAUAUACAUGAUGUGUGCGUUUAUUUAGUUUGUAAAAUACUAUGCCUCUUAUUAAGUUCUUUAGUUUUGCUUGUGACCCUGAUUCUCAACAGGAAAUAUACACACACCCACACACCUUUUAUCUUUUACUUGUUUCAGUCAUUAGACUGCAUCCAUCCUGGGGUACCACCUUGAAUUUUUUUUAGUCAAAUGAAUCUACUCCAGUAUUUUUUUUUUUUUGAAGACUAGUAUUUAUUCUAUCGAUCUCUUUUGCUGAUCUGCACAGUUACAGAUGUAAACAUACCAACACCGGUUGUCAAGCUCUGGUGAGGUAUACGUACGCACACACACACAUACAUAUGUUCAUAGAAUGCUGAGCGACAGUCAUAAUGUUGGUAUUUUAAUACCUGGUGUGAAUUAUCAUGAUACAGGUGUCUCUUUUCCAAUAUUCAGAUUGCUUCUAGUCAUCCAUGUCAGCUAAUUUUUUCUCAACUACAUCUUCAGUUCUUAUUCUCCCUAACUACAUUGACUGUUCACGGAUGUAUAAAGCCAUUCCCGAAAAGAUGUUAUGAAACAGAAUAAAAUCAGCUAAUUUUUUGGAUCUUUUCGGUCUGAACAGCAGUUUUUUCUAGCGGUGUCAUAUGAAAUUGUCACCCAUAAUUAUGACCCUACUAUCGAUCUAUUGCAUUUCAUUCUGUGUUAGGGGUGGGGGGGAAGGGUAUCUUUUUUUCUUCACAAAUGUAAAUAAACCCAAUCUGUUUCUUAAACGAGGGACAUAUUCAUACGACACAGAAUUUUUUCACCUCAAUAGACGUCAUUGAUUGGUUGAAAUUUCAGAAAUUGAAGGAAAAAAACAACAAAUAUCUUACAAACUAUAGAAUUUUCUCAAUAAAGCCAAGAGAAAAAGAUGUUUUAUAAAUACAUUCUACCAGUACACGAAGUUUAAAAGUGUUUAGUUACUCUUUUACUUGUUUCAGUCAUUUGACUGCGGCCAUGCUGGAGCACCGCCUUUAAUCGAGCAACUCGACCCCGGGACUUAUUCUUUUGUAAGCCCAGUACUUAUUCUAUCGGUCUCUUUUGCCGAACCGCUAAAUGACGGGGACAUAAACACACCAACUUCGGACACACAAACACAUACAUGCAUAGAUAUACAUAUAUACAACGGGCUUCUUUUCAGUUUCCGUCUACCAAAUCCACUCACAAGGCUUUGGUCGGCCCGAGGCUAUAGUAGAAGACACUUGCCCAAGGUGCCACGCAGUGGGACUGAACCCGGAACCAUGUGGUUGGUAAACAAGCUACUUACCACACAGCCACUCCUUACGUGGAAAUUAUUUUAAGAAACUGCCUUUCAAACUGAAAUGAUCCAAUUUUUUCUCAACUACUUCGGUUCUUAUGCUCCCUAACUCCAUUGGCUGUUCACGGAUGUAUAAAGCCAUUCCCGAAAAGAAGAUGUUAUGAAGCAGAGAAUAAAAUCAGCUAAUUUUUUCCCAACUACUUCAAUCUUCAUGCUUCUCAACUCUGCUGUUCACGGAUGCAUGAAGCCAUUCCUGAAAAAUAAGGAAACAUAAAAAACACCCCAUCAAUUCUAACCCAAACAACCUGGAUGCUGUACAAUGUUUGUGAUUCACUCGGAUGCUGCUCAGUGCUUCACACACGUGAUCAUUCGAUCUAUUUUUGGAAGCACUCCGUCAGUUACGACGACGAGGGUUCCGGUUGAUCCGAAUCAACGGAACAGCCUGCUCGUGAAAUUAACGUGUAAGUAGCUGAGCACUCCACAGACACGUGUACUCUUAACGUAGUUCUCGGGGAUAUUCAGCGUGACACAGAGAGUGACAAGGCCGGCCCCUUGAAAUACAGGUACAACAGAAACAGGAAGUGGAAGCACUCCGUCGGUUCCGACGACGAGGGUUCCGGUUGAUCCGAUCAACGGAACAGCCUGCUCGUGAAAUUAACGUGUAAGUGGCUGAGCACUCCACAGACACGUGCACCCUUAACGUAGUUCUCGGGGAUAUUCAGCGUGACACAGAGAGUGACUAGGCCGGCCCUUUGAAAUACAGGUACAACAGAAACAGGAAGUAAGAGUGAGAGAAAGUUGUGGUGAAAGAGUACAGCAGGGAUCACCACCAUCACCCGCUGGAGCCUCGUGGAGCUUUUAGGUGUUUUCGCUCAAUAAUCACUCACAACGCCCGGUCUGGGAAUCGAAACUGCGAUCCUACGACCGCGAAUCCGCUGCCCUAACCACUGGGCCAUUGCGCCUCCACUAUUCAAUCUAUAUCGGAAUUAAGAAAUAACUUGGCUUGGAUUGAUUGGUGGUGGUCAGGCGGUUAGUUUUAGUGUCCUCUGUUGAUCUUCGUUGACAUCAAGGGCAGAUAAUAUUUUGAGUGUAAGGUUGUGGUCUGUUGUUUUAGUUAAGUGGUAACUGUUCUGAAUUAGAACCAAAAAGAUUCUAGAUUCUUUUUUUUUUUGUUUCUAUCUGUUGAUUCUUCUUUCUCCUUUUUUCUUUCUUUCUUUCUAUGUCCUCCUCUCUCUGUCUCUUUAUAUGUCCUUCUCUAUCUGCCUGUCCCCCACCUCUCUCUCUCUCUCUCUCUCUCUCUCUGACUGGUCCUCCACCUCUCUCUCUCUCUCUCUCUGACUGGUCCUCCCUAUCUCUCUUUCUCCUUGACUGUCCCCCUCUCUCUCUUUCUCCUUGACUGGCCCCCCUCUCUCUCUCUGACUGGCCCUCUCUCUCACUAGCCCUCUCUCUCUCUGACUGGCCUACUCCCUCUCUCUCUCUUUCUCCCUGACUGGCUCUCUCUCUCUCUGACUGGACCCCUCUCUCUCUCUCCUGUACCUCUCUAUCUUUCCCCCUCCCGGUCGGUUCAUCUCUCUCCAUUCCUGUUCAUCUUUAUCCCUAUCUAUCUUACCCUCUCCGUCUAUCUAUCAUUCUCCGUGUCUACGUAUCCCUUUCUACAUUAGUCUGUCUGUCUGUCUCUGCCUGUCCCCAGUCCCUCUCUCCCUCUUACUCACUGCCACUGUCUGUCUGCGAGUAUUUGUGUUUAUCUGUCUACCCCCCCAUUCUCCCCCCUCUCAUCUACUGCCAGUUCUGCUCUUAUGUAAGCGAGACCUGCUAACAAGGAGAUGGUAUGUGUGUGUGUGUCUGUGUGUUGUGUUGAUGUAAUCUACUUCUCUCCCAGUCAGCCACCCUAUGACACACCCUGUGUGUUUUGGGGAGUGUAGAUAGGGGUGAAUGAGAAAUAAAUACGCUGUUUGUCUCUGUCUGUGGCAGGGUGGGUAGCAGCAGCAGUUUCUUAUACCAACAAGGUGUGAGUUGUCGAGCUAUGUUGAACAGCUGCAGUCGUGUGUGGGGUGGAUCCAUCUGUCAUCAGAGUCUGAGUCGAUGGUGAUGAUUACCUUGCCACCUUCUUUUAAUCAGGCAGGUGAGGCAGUUUUCCUUUGCCUGGUGGCUGCGGUGAAAGAGGUCGUUUGGUGGAUGAGGCCGAAAGGUAUGAGGACGGUCGCAUUCCUCAUAGGUAGAACCCUCAUUGAAAAGGAGAGAGAGUGAAUCCUUGAGUGAAUUUAUUAGAAGAUGGCUGAAAGUUUGUUAGUUAAUUUUUUGGCUCAAAAAGCAAAAAAGCAAGGCCAUGUAGGGGGACAUGGAGUUAUGUACAGGGAGGGUGUUCAUGUAAAGAGUUCAGGCCACUUGAGGUCAAGGGAAACUUUGAACCGAGCGGUCAUCGGCAUCUUCACUAUCUCGUCCGGCAGCUUAUUCCAUGGAUCCGCAACCCGGACGGAGAAAGCCCCUCUCCUUCGAUUGAGAUGAAAUCGUCGCAGAUAGAGCUUUUCGGAGUGACCCCGCAGCCGACACUCUGGAGCAGGAGUGAAGAACAGCUCUUUCGAGAGGUUACACUUUCCACUCAUGAUGAUGUGAGCGAGAAUGAGAUCACCAUGGCGGCGGCAUUUUUCUAGAGAAUAAAGGUCGAGCGUCUUCAGCAAGAAUGGAAGGUACCACUCUAAGUGCAAACGUAUGAGUCGGAGAAUGUAAAUUGGGGAGCUUGAAUGGUGGAGUUCCUCAAUUAUCUGUAGAGGCCCUCAUAUCAGGAGGGCAACAGUCACUAUCCCUUUUUAUUUGUUUUUAGUAUUGUGCACUACAUAUGCUUACCUUCUUUGUUUUUACUAUAUACUGUAUACAGUUUAUAUAGACAGAUGUGUAAGGAAAUAAGAUGACAAAGGGAAACUUCAUUGGCUUGCAGCUGUUUCUGCUACAAGGUACAGUGUUCUCCUAGUUGAAUGCCUUAACAACUUAUAUUGGAACCUGAAAUAGAAAGCGCAAUUUAUCGCAAUGUUUAAGCGAAAGAUAUAUAUAUAUAUAUACUUUUAUUCGUUUCUGUCAUUUGACUGUGGUCAUGCUGGAGCACUGUCUUUUAGUUGAAGAAAUUGACCCCAGGACUUAUUUUUUUGUGAGUCUGGCACUUAUUCUAUUGGUCUGUCUUGCUGAACUGCUAGGUUAUGGGGACGUAAACACAACCAACAUUGGUUGUCAAGUGAUGGUAGGUGGACAUAGACACAAAGACAUACACAUAAAUACACACACACACACACAUGACAAACUUCUUUCAGUUUCACUGACAAAAUUCCGUGCUGCAUCUCAUCAGAUGCAGCACGGAAUUUUGUCAGUGAACAGGUCGCGGUCUGAAAGUGACGAAAAUAUUUUGACAAAUUAAAUUUAAAUGUUGAAGUGAAUCUAACAGUUUUUGUGUGUUUCUUAAAUGGCUUAUAAACACCUUCCAUGCUGCAAUUGCUUUCGUUGCAGCACACGAUCUCAGAUCAGGCCACUUGCUAUGCAAGUACAUAUCCGUAAUAUAUAUAAUGAAUAUAGUAAAAGUUGACAAUUUUUUUAUCUUAUAUUUAUUUUGUAAACAAAUAAAACAAUAUUACAUAAGCAUUUUAUAAGCAUGUUAUAAUGUUUCUUUCUUUUCUGGAAUCUCGCCGUGUACUAGCAGCUGAUGGCUUGCGGACUGGCACUCUGAGUAGCACCACAGUACAGUACUGUUUCUACUUCACGGAUUUUCACCUAUCGUGGGGCAUUUGGAACAUAACACCUGUGAUAGUCGAGGGAUUAUUAUUAUUAUUAUUAAGGUAGUGAGCUGACAGAAUCUUUAGCAUGCCAGGCAAAAUGCUUAGCGACAUUUCACCUGUCUUUGCGUUCUGAGUUCAAAUUCUACUGAGGUUGACUUUGCCUUUCAUCCUGGUAAAAUAAGAGCCAGCCGAGCAUUAGGGAGUGGUGGUGGUGGUGGGGGGGUGAUGUCAUCGACUACCCCCCCCCACCUCCACCUUAAAAUUGUUGGCCUUCUGCCAGAAUUUGAAAGAAUACUUUAUUUAUUAUGAUGAUGAAACCCUGCUCGUCCAGCCCCUACCCUAUCUCUCUGCUCCACCACACACAACCCAAUUUUUACUAAUUGAUAUCAUCAAGUUUUCUGAAAGGAGUGUGUGUGUGUUAGUGUUUAUUUUUAAUUUAUAUAUUUUCUCUUUGUUUUUUUUCUUGUUUUUUUUUUCUCCUCUCUUAUCAAGAUAAUGAUUUCAUUUUUUUACAAAUUCUAAUAUUUAUAGAACACACAUACACACACACAUGGUUGCUAUGGAAAAAUGACUUGGAGAAUUUUUUUUCCAUAAAUGUUAAAUUAUAAAUAUGAGGUGUGUGUGUGUGCAUAAAUCUCUGCCUGUUAUGGUGCAAGCAUAGCUGUGUGGUAAGGAAUUUGCUUCCUAAACACAUGGUUUUGGGUUCAGUUCCACUGUGUGACACCUUGGGCAAGUGUCUUCUAUUAUAGCCCCAGGCUGACCAAAGCCUUGUGAGGUGAUUUGGUAGACAGAAAGUGAAAAAAGCCCAUAGUUAUAUAUAUAUAUAUAUAUAUGUAUAUGGCAAAUGAUGAAGUGAGUGCUCAAUGCCGUAUUGGUGGAUAUAUAAUUUUUUUAUUUUUGAAUUAAAGCUAUCAUUUUGGAGGUGAACACCUUUCUCCAUGUGAUCAGCUUGAAAAAUUGCUGAGACACUUGAAUAUUUUCCUACUUUUUUAGCAUGAAACCAGUGGUAGCCUUAAUUCAAAAGUAAAUAUGAUAUAUAUGUUUCAGUCAUUUGACUGUGGCCAUGCUAGGGCACCGCAGGACUUUCUUUUUAAAGCCUAGUAUUUAUUUAUGUUGGCCCAAAAUUAUGUUUACAGUUAUCACGUAGGUGCUUUAAAUUUCUUUCAAAACAUUUUAUUACUUUUAAAUUUUUAUCUUACAAAUGUGGCAGAUGCUCGGGAGCAUUGACCUCUGAAAAUCUGCAGAAAACAACUUCCAUCACUUUCCGGGGGGAAAACUAGAAGUAGUUGAUAGCUUCCGUUAUCUAGGUGACCAAGUCAGUAGUGGGGGUGGGUGCGCUGAAAGUGUAACGGCUAGAAUAAGAAUAGCCUGGGCAAAGUUUAGGGAGCUCUUACCUCUGCUGGUGACUAAAGGCCUCUCGCUCAGAGUAAAACGCAGACUGUAUGAUGCAUGUGUACGAACAGCCAUGCUACAUGGCAGUGAAACAUGGGCCGUGACUGCUGAGGACAUGCGUAAGCUCGUGAGGAAUGAAGCCAGUAUGCUCCGUUGGAUGUGUAAUGUCAGUGUACUUACUCGACAGAGCGUUAGUACCUUGAGAGAAAUGUUGUACCUAAGAAGCAUCAGUUGUGGUGUGCAAGAGAGACGAUUGCGCUGGUAUGGUCAUGUGGCGAGAAUGGAUGAAGAUAGGUGUGUGAGAAAGUGCCAAUCCCUAGCAGUUGAGGGAACCCGUGGAAGAGGUAGACCCAGGAAAACCUGGGACGAGGUGGUGAAGCACGACCUUCGAACGUUAGAUCUCACCAUGGAAAUGACUAGAGACCGAGACCUAUGGAAGUAUGCUGUGCGUGAAAAGACCCGGCAAGACUAGUGAAGCCAUAACCCGUGGCCCCUACCUGGGACGUAGUCAGUCCACCUGUGCAUACCUUCCUUCUUGUGACACUUGUGAAGACCUGUUGAGGCAAGUGAAAAUCAAAUCAAACCAAAUCAAAAUAGAUGAACAUCAAUGGAAUUUGUAUCCUUGUGGUACCAGUGCCGGUGGCACAUAAGAAAACCAUCUGAACGUGACCGUAGCCAGUACCGCAUCGACUGGCCUCCGUGCUGAGGGCAUGUAACAAACACCAUCCGAGCGUGGCACCUGUGUCGGUGGCACAUAAAAACACCAUCCGAGCGUGGCCGUCUGCCAGCCUCGUCUGGCACCUGUGUUGGUGGCACAUAAAAACACCAUCCGAGCGUGGCCGUUCGCCAGCCUCGUCUGGCACCUGUGUCGGUGGCACAUAAAAAACACCAUUGGAGCGUGGCUGUUCGCCAGCCUCGUCUGGCACCUGUGUCAGUGGCACAUAAAAUCACCCACUACACUCUCGGAGUGGUUGGCGUUAGGAAGGGCAUCCAGCUGUAGAAACGCUGCCAGAUCUGACUGGCCUGGUGCAGCCUUCGGGCUCCCCAGACCCCAGUUGAACCGUCCAACCCAUGCUAGCAUGGAAAGCGGACGUUAAAUGAUGAUGAUGAUGAAACUGGGAAGGGAGCUUGACAAAAUUUUAUCUAAAUUAGCAUAGAAUAAUUCUCUCUUUUUACUCUCUUUUACUUGUUUCAGUCAUUUGACUGCGGCCAUGCUGGAGCACCACCUUUAGUUGAGCAAAUCGACCCCGGGACUUAUUCUUUUGCUAGGGGGACAAACACAUACAUAUAUAUAUAUAUACAUAUACGACGGGCUUCUUUCAGUUUCCGUCUACCAAAUCCACUCACAAGGCUUUGGUGGGCCCGGGGCUAUAGCAGAAGACACUUGCCCAAGAUGCCACGCAGUGGGACUGAACCCGGAACCAUGUGGUUGGUAAGCAAGCUACUUACCACACAGCCACUCCUGCGCCAUAAUGGUUUUAUAUUUUUUACAAUUAAGAUCUAAACUGUUAAUAUAUGAAUGUGAAAGUGAUAGUUGAAUAACUGUAAACCUACUUCUGGGCCACCCUGUAUAUAUAUAUAUAUAUAUAUAUAUGUUAAUAAAAUAGAACAUAUGCGUAUAUAUAAACAUAUAUGUACGUACCUACCUCUACAUGUACAUAUACACGCAUAUAUGUGUACAGGACACCAAAAAGACGUCGAACAUAUAGAGAGACGAAAAACAUAGACACAAACCAAGGAACAGGACAAGCAAAAAAAAGGGAUAUAAGACAAUUAGCACAACGAAAAAUCCCCUUCUUCAGUCGCUAAGGUUUCAUCUACUCUACGUUUCGAAGGAUAAAAGCGAGACGUAUCUUCGAAGAAACUUCCUUCCUGCGAAAAGCAAAUCAAUUAAAAUUCUGAGAUCUUUUCGCAGAGGGGUAAAAAAUGGUAAAAAAAUGGUAAAAAAAACAAGCAAGACGGUAACGACAGUACAAACAUAUAAACAGUAAAAAAAUAUAUAUAAACAGUGGAAAAAUAAAUAUAUAACAGUGAGAGACAGGACAAGGAGAACAAGAUAAGAAGGGCUGUUUACGCCAGACGAAAAAAGUAUUGCAAACGCUGGAUUAUAGUGGACGACGAGAGAGCAGGAAAGUCGACCAGUGGCCUUAUAUAUAUACAUAUAUAUAUGUAUGUAUGUAUGUACAUAUAGUCCAGUGUGGACUGUGUUUGGUAGCAUUGGGAUGAUAGCAAUGUAAUCUGUAUUGGUAUGAAUCAACCCGAUAUUUAAAUAUAGAACUGAGGUAGAUCUAUAUAUGUAUACUGGGUGUGAUGAGGGUGGAAUGGAAUUAGCAUUUUGGGUGAGGUGAGUGAAGUCCUCAAUCAGAGAAUUUGAGUAGAUGGGUAGAUAGGUAAAUAGGCAGAUGAUGUUGAGGUGUGUUUGUGGGUUGGGUGAUGGUGAAAGACAGGUAGGUAGGUAGAGCGAAAAGUAUGCUUUAAGGAUGGGCGAGCUGUGUGUUUGGGGUACCAUUGCUGUGAGGUGAGCUCCUUGAUAGUUUUGUGUGUGUGUGUCUUUAUCUUUAUCUUUUACUUGUUUCUGCUGUUGAGCUGUGGCCAUGAGGGAGCAGCACCCCUUAAAGGUUUUAGUCGAACAAAUUGAAAACAAUAUUUUUUUAACCCCGUAGCAUUCAGAUUUCUUCUUCUUCCUUUUUUCAUCUUGUUGUUGUUCUUCUUCUCCUCCUCCUCCUCCUUCUCCUUCUUCUUCUCCUUCUUCUUCUCCUCCUUCUCUUCCUCCUCCUUCUCCUCGUUCCCCUCCUCCUUCUUCUUCUUCUUCCAAGACGUUUGUCUAUCCUCUCAAGCAAUAUGCUGCUGUGGGUGCCACUGGAUGACAGGCCCUGGUGAUGAUCUUAUCCUAUGGUUUCCAAUCCAUCGUGACAGGCUUAGCAUCCUUGAGGUCGAGGCUAUAGUAGAAGACACUUGCCCAAGGUGCCAUGCAGUGGGACUGAACCUGGAACCAUGUGGUUCGUAAGCAAGCUACAUACCACACAGGCAUGCGCGUGUAUAUAUAUAAUGUGUGUGUGUGUGUGUGUAUGGAUGCAUGUGUGUAACCAACUAACAGUAGCUCCAUCCCUGAAAUAUAUAAGUAAUACCGUGAAUUGUUGCCUUUAGUUUAGCUGUUUGGAGGAUGAGUAAGAGACCAUCCAUCCCAAUGGUUUGGGUGUCUGGAAAGAAUGUGAUGUUCCUGCUUUUGUUAUGCACGUGUCGUAUGUUUAAUGAAACAAGGUAAGCAGUUGUUUUAGAUAUCCUUUUACUCGUUUCCUUGUUUCAGUCGUUUGACUGUGGCCAUGCUGGAGCACUGCCCUUAGUCGAACGAAUCGACCCGAGGACGUAUUCUUUGUAAGCCUAGUACUUAUUCUAUCGGCCUCUUUUUGCAGAACCGCUAAGUUACGGGGGGAACGUAAACACACCAGCAGUAGCUGUUAAGCGACGGUGGGAUGGGGGUGGGGGACAAACACACACACACACACACAUACAUACGUACACACAUACACACACACACGCAUACAUACACACAUACAUACAUACACACAUAAAUACAUACACACACAUACAUACACACACACACAUACAUACACACAUAAAUACAUACACACACAUACAUACACACAAAUACAUACACACACGCAUACAUACACACAUACAUACAUACACACAUAAAUACAUACACACAUAAAUACAUACACACACACACAUACAUACACACAUACAUACAUACACACACAUACAUACACACAUAAAUACAUACAUACACACAUACAUACACACAUAAAUGCAUACACACACACAUACAUACACACAUAAAUACAUACACACACACAUACACACAUAAAUACAUACACACACACAUACAUACACGCAUAAAUACAUACACACACACAUACAUACACAUACAUACAUACAAACAAACAAUGAGCUUCUUUCAGUGCCAGUGGCACAUAAAAAGUGCCAUCCGAAUGUGGUCAGUGCCAGCUCUGCUUGACUGGUGCCCUUUGCCGAUGGCACAUAAAAAGCAGUGUCUGAACAUGUCCGAUGUCGGGUCCACCUGACUGGCUCCUUUGCCGGUGGCACGUAAAAAGCACCAUCUGAACGUGGCUGAUGCCAAUACCCCCAAAGCACUAUCCGAACAUGAUCGAUGCCAGGCCUGCCUGACUGGCUCCUGUGCCGGUGGCUUGUAAAAACCACCCACUACACUCUCGAAGUGGUUGGUGUUAGGAAGGGCAUCCAACUGUAGAAACAUUGCCAGAUCAGAUUGGAGCCUGGUGCAGCCACUGGCUCUCCAGACCUCAGUCAAACCGUCCAACCCAUGCCAGCAUGGAAAAACGGAUGUUAAACGAUUAUGAUGAUAAUGCAAAUAUAAUACAGGUGAUAUAUUAGCAAUUAAAACCUAAUGGCAAAUUAAUAAGCAAGGGUACAAAAAGCACCAGUUGCCAGAAAUAAGUCAGAAGGCAACUCGACAGCCACACAAAGCACCAACCUCAUGAGAUUGGCAGAAGGUGAGAGAGCAAGCAAAACCAUCUUUCUAUUGUGAGACAAACUCUUGAUGUAUGGUAGCACGCCGGGCAAAGUGCUUAGCGGUAUUUCGUCUGCCGCCACAUUUUGAGUUCAAAUUCCGCUGAGGUCGACUUUGCCUUUCAUCCUUUCGGGGUCGAUUAAAUAAGUACCAGUUACGCACUGGAGUCGAUAUAUAUUCAAAUUAAUCCGUCUGUUUGUCCUCUUUGUGUUUAGCCCCUUGUGGGUAGUAAAGAAAUAGGUAUUUCGUCUGCCGCUACAUUCUGAGUUCAAAUUCCGCCGAGGUCGACUUUGCCUUUCAUCCUUUCGGGGUCGAUAAACUAAGUACCAGUUAUGCACUGGGGUCGAUGUAAUCGACUUAAUCCGUUUGUCUGUCCUUGUUUGUCCUCUCUGUGUGUAGCCCCUUGUGGGUAGUAAAGAAAUAGGUGUGUGUGUGUGUCAUUGUGUCUGUGUUUGUCACCCCAUCACUUUUUGACAACCAGUGUUGGUAUGUUUACGUUCUUGCAACUUAGCAGUUCAGGGGAAAGAGACCUAUAGAAUAAGUACUAGGCUUAAAAACACAAAAAGGCCUGGGGCGCAAUUUGUUCAGCUAAAACACUGCGUGGCAGUGCUCCAGCAUGGCCGCAGUCAAAUGACCAAAACAAGUAUGAAAGAACAUGUUUUUUUUUCUUUUAACGAUACCAGUGCCAGUGGCACGUAAGAGAACCAUCAGAAUGUAGCUGUUGCCAGUGCCGCCCCGACUGGCCUCCGUGCUGGUGGCACGUAAAAAGCACCGUCCGAUCGUGGCCGUUUUGCCAGCCUCGUCUGGCACCUGUGCCGGUGGAAUAUAAAAAGCACCCACUACACUCUUGGAGUGGUUGGCGUUAGGAAGGGCAUCCAGCCGUAGAAACAUUGCCAGAUCAGACUGGGCCUGGUGCAGCCAUCUGGCUUCCCGGACCCCAGUUGAACCGUCCAACCCAUGCCAGCAUGGAAAGCGGAUGCUAAACGAUGAUGAUGAUGAUAUAUAUAUAUAUAUAUAUAUAUAUAGUGCCAAGAGCACCAUCCGAGCGUGAUCGUCGCUAGAGCAGCCAACUGGCUUCCAUGCCGGUGGCAUGUAAAAGGGCACCAUUUGGGCAUGAUCGUUACCAGUGUCGCCUUACUGGCACCUGUACCGGUGGCAUGUGUAAAAAGAUUUGAGCGAGGUCAUUGCCUGUACCGCCUGACUGGCCCCUGUGCUGGUGGGACGUAUAAAGCACCCACUACACUCACGGAGUGGUUGGCGUUAGGAAGGGCAUCCAGCCGUAGAAACGUUGCCAGAUCAGACUGGGCCUGGUGCAGCCUUCUGGCUUCCCGGACCCCAGUUAAACCGUCCAACCCAUGCUAGCAAGGAAAGCGGAAGCUAAACGAUGAUGAUGAUGAUGCUCAAAUGGCUAUGAAGGUCUGUUUAAAUAGAAUAGGAACGAAAGGGGUCCAUAGGUAAAAAACAAAACAAGACAAAACAAAAAAAAAAUAAUUGAGUAACAUUAUAUAGGGACCACACCUUGAUACCCCGCAAUAAAAAGCACACUAAAAAGACCCUGAGCUGGAAGGGUAGUGGAGCCAACAUCAGACAGAAUAAGGAUGAUACGAAGCAUCGAGUCACCGCUGCAUUGGGAGGUUGCGGCUUUUACCCGUGCACCUACUGCCCUCUCUCUAGGCUACGGAUUGCGCUCGAUGGACUGAUGUUAGCCGACAUGCACAGAUUAGAGGUCGACUGAUUUUUGGUUUUGGUUUUGGUUUUUUAAAUCUCUCUCUCUUAACCACCAGCUGUUGCGUUUUAUUAUUAUUAUCAUCAUCAUCAUCAUUAUUAUCAUCAUCAUUAUCAUCAUUAUCAUCAUCAUCAUCAUCAUCAUUAUCAUCAUCAUCAUCAUUAUCAUCAUCAUCAUUAUCAUCAUUAUCAUCUUCAUCAUCAUCAUCAUCAUCAUUAUUAUCAUCAUCAUCAUCAUUAUUAUCAUCAUCAUCAUUAUCAUCAUCAUCAUCAUUAUCAUCAUUAUCAUCAUUAUUAUCAUCAUCAUCACCAUUAUUAUCAUCAUCAUCAUCAUCAUUAUCAUCAUCAUUAUCAUCAUCAUCAUCAUUAUUAUUAUUAUUAUCAUCGUUAUUAUUAUUAUUAUUAUUAUUAUCAGCCUCCUAGAAGUAGCCGUUCAGUAUUAAUACAGCUCCUCGCUCUCAACUGUUGUUGUUAUUGGUGCUGCUGUUGUUGUCGUCGUUGGGUUUUCUAGAUUUUUUUUUGAUUUUUUUUCAGUUAAUCCUUCCUCCCUAGAUAAUCCGGUCUUCACAUAUAAUCCACGUGCUGAUCAAAACCAAGAGCUUUUCUGUCCACUCCCUUCCCCAGGCAUUUUGCAGUGGUAUGAUUUUGUGAUAUGGGACACUGUGUGUGUGUGUGUGUGUGUGUGUGUGUGUGUGUGUGUGUAUCUUGUUUACUCCCAGGUCAGUCCUUGAUCCAGCCUUUCUAGCCAUGGCCAUUUGUUUGAAUCCAUAUUCCCUUGUCUAAUGUUGCUUUUUUUUUAUGUCUUUAUUUUUUGGAUCUUUUCGGUUUGAACGGCAGUUUUUAAAAUAAUUUCCACGUAACUAAACACUUUUAAACUUCGUAUACUGGUAGAAUGUGUCUAUAAAACAUCUUUUUCUCUUGACUUUAUUGAGAAAAUUCUAUAGUUUGUAAGAUAUUUGUUGUUUUUUCCUUCAAUUUCUGCAAUUUCAACCAAUCACUGACAUCUAUUGAGGUAAAAAAAACAUUCUGUGCUGUAUGAAUAUGUCCCUCGUUUAAGAAACAGAUUGGGUUUAUUUACAUUUCUAAAGAAAAAAAAGAUACCCUUCCCACACCCUAACCCUAAAAUAGGAUCUUAUCGGUUUGAACGGCAGCUUUUUAAAAUAAUUUCCACGUAACUAAACACUUUUAAACUUCGUAUACUGGUAGAAUGUGUUUAUAAAACAUCUUUUUCUCUUGGCUUUAUUGAGAAAAUUCUACAGUUUGUAAGAUAUUUGUUGUUUUUUUUCCUUCAAUUUCUGCAAUUUCAACCAAUCACUGACAUCUAUUGAGGUAAAAAAAACAUUCUGUGCCGUAUGAAUAUGUCCCUCGUUUAAGAAACAGAUUGGGUUUAUUUACAUUUAUGAAGAAAAAAAGAUACCCUUCCCCCUAAGCCUAACCCUAACCCUAAAAGAGAUUGAAAUGCAAUAGAUUGAUACUAGGGUCAUAAUUUUGGGUGACAAUUUCAUAUGACACUGCUUGGAAAACUGCCGUUCAAACCGAAAAGAUCUGAUUUUUUUUACUCUUUACUAGUUUCAGCAAUGAUUCCUGGCGGUGAGUUCUGUCCUUGAGCAAGACACUUCAUUUACUCUUUGCUCCAGUUCACUCAUCUGGCAAAUAUGAGUCGUACCUGUAAUUGAAAGGGGCCUGCCUUGUCACAAUCUGUGUCAUGUUGAAUCUCCCUGAGUACAAUGUGUCUGUGGAGUACUCAGCCACUUGCAUGCUAAUUUCAUGAGCAGGCUGUUCUGUUGAUUGGAUUGACUGGAACCCUCGACACAACCGAUGGAGUGCCAUAUAUGGAGGUGCGUGUGUGUGUAUGCACACGCAUGCACAUGUAUAUGGAGGUGCGUGUGUCCCUGCAUAUAUGUGAUGGUAUGUUGUUGUUGGCAUCGUUUUUGUCUCGGGAGACAAUGGAGUUGCGCAUGAAGUAGUCUAGUCCGGCUUUUACAUUUCAUGUCCUGAUCAUCAUCAUUCAUCAUUGUUUGACCGUGGUCGAGACAAUGGAAUUUACCAUGCAAUGCCAGACUUCAUGGUCCAUCAUAGCAUUACGGAGGUCCUGUUGCUGGAUGCCUGUAUCCCUGGAGAUUACAUCAGGGUAGGAGAGUGUGCGCCCUCUAGUAUUGCGAGUAGAUGGCUUCCAGAGGAGAAGAGUAGAAAUUGCUUCGUUUUCAGCUCUACAACAAUGUCCAGCAAACUGGACUCUCUUACCUUUCACAAGAGAUGACACAGGUGGUAGUUUCCCAUAUAUUUGCAUUUUGGUUGGAUGGCGCUUCCAUGAGAGAUUUUGAGCUCUCAUAAGGAGGCGAGUUUAGGUUCCAUCCAACCGCCUCUCAAGCUUCUUUGAUAAUGUCCUGAUACAUCUCCUGCUGUGGCUGUGUAGUCCUAUCUUGGACAAACACUACCUCUGGCAGGUACCGCAAAUGUAGCGAAAACUGUUCCUGGCUGGUUGUAGUGUCAUAGUCUCUUGUUGACGUCUUUUCUUGUCUUUCCAUUUCUCCUCUCUCUCUCUGUCACUCCUUUGUAUUCCCUCUUUUACGGUACAUCGCCAGUCUCCACGGUUGCCGGCAACUGCCUCCCAACCGCGAAUAUUGAUGUCCUUCAUGUCCCUUUUGCAAACAUCCUUGUAACGUAAGAACGGUCUACCCACAGACCUAGUACCCCUAGCAAGCUCUCCGUAGAGUAUGUCCUUGGGGAUUCUGUCAUCUUUCAUACGGCUAACAUGCCCAAGCUAUCUCAUACGUCUUUGUGUGAGGAGUGCAAACAUGCUUGGUAUUCCUGCUUGCUUGAGGACAUCUUUGUUGGGGAUAUGAUGGUAUGUAGGGACACGUCAAUCCUACAAGUCUGUGACGUGGCAGGGGGAAAGGGCAUGAGUGCUGUCAUCUUUGUGUACCUGAUGACCUCAGAAGGGAUGUCAGAUGUACUUUUAGUGACAUGGGGUUUUUUGUGACAACUUGAAAUUGAAGUGUGUGUGUGUGUGUGUGCGUACAUGUGCAUUCAUAACUCAUACAGCUAUGAUGAGCUUCUUUCAGUUUCCAUCUACCAAAUCCAUUUACAAGGUUUUGGUUGGCCUGAGGCUAUAGUAGAAGACACAUGCUCCAGGUGCCACACAGUGGGACUGAACCCGGAAACAUGUGGUUGGAAAGCAAACUUCUUACCACACAGCCACAUGUUGUGGUUUUCAUUUUAUAGCACCAGCCCUGAUACUUUCUAAGCAGGCCCAUCCCCGUGCGUGCGUACUCUUUAACUUGUUUGUGUCUAUAACACGGGGCCUUUUGGUGUGUGUGUGUGUGUGUACAUUGUGAAUUAAGACAAAGAAGGGAAAUGUUUGUGUGAGAGGGAGAAACAUGAGUCAGCUCAUGACACAUUGUUAUUAUUAUUAUUAUUUAACAGGUGGCAACAGAUGUGGCUGUUGGUGGGUGGGUGUGGUGGGUGUAUAUGCAUGUGUGUAAAUAUAUAGUUUGAUUUGUUGGGGUGUGUAUGUAUAUAUAUAUGCAUUAUAUAUGUGUAUAUAUAUAUGUGUGUGUGUAUGUGUAUAUAUAUAUAUAUGCAUUAUGUGUGUGUGUGUGUGUGUAUAUAUAUAUAUAGAUGCAUUAUAUAUGUGUAUAUAUAUACAUAUAUAUACAUAAAUAUGUGUAUGUAUGUGUGUGAAUAUAUUGAUAUAUGUUUAUAUAUAUAUAUAUAUAUAUAUAAAUGUGUAUAUAUAUAUAUAAAUGUGUGUAUAUAUAUAUAAAUAUGUGUGUAUGUAUAUAUAUAAAUGUGUGUGUAUAUAUAUAUAAAAUGUGUAUGUAUAUAUAUAAUAUAUAAGGCUGAUAUACACACAUGUGUAGUGUUUGUGUGUGUGUGUGUGUGUGUGUGUGUGUGUGGAGUGUUGCCUUUUCCGACAGGUGAUGUCUGUCUAAGCUUAACUAGAUCAACUGGGUGAUUAGGUGUGUAUGUGUGUGUCUUUAUUUAAACAGAUGGCAGCACAGAUCUAGUCAUGCACACACACACACACACACACACACACACACACACACACACAUGCGUGCACAAUAUAUGUAUAUAUAUAACACAGACACACAUCACUGCCUCGUUAGACAGGUGAUGUUUAUACUCUUUCGGUUUGCGGGAACUAGGUGAGGUGUGUUGUGUUUAGACAGGCAAUGCCUGCUAUAUAUAUAUACAUAUAUAUAUAUGUGUGUGUGCCUUUCUCUCUUUGUAUAGAAUGAAACAGGAAGUUCUGCUGUAUGUUUAUUUUUAUAGUUCGCAAGCUGUUACACGUAAGCAGCACGUGUGUGUGUGUGUGUAUAUGACAAUAAUGGCCAAAGAGAUGGACUGCGAUGAAUGCAGGGGACAAACAGACAUGGGGUGAACCCCUUGAGUCGACAUUGUCUUUGUCGUUUCGACCUUUUGGCAUUUACUUGUUUCAGUAAUUAGACUGUGGCCAUGCUGGGGCGCUGCGUUUGAAGAAUUUUUUUAGUGAAUCGUGGCCGAAGACAGUGCCGCCUCGACUGGCUUCCGUGCAGGUGGCAUGUAAAAUGCACCAAUCCGACCGUGGCCGAUGCCAGCCUCGCCUGGCACCAGUGCAGGUGGCACGUAAAAAGCACCCACUACACUCUCGGAGUGGUUGGCGUUAGGAAGGGCAUCCAGCUGUAGAAACUUUGCCAGAUAAGACUGGAGCCUGGUGCAGCCUUCUGGCUUCCCAGAUCCCCGGUCGAACCGUCCAACCCAUGCUAGUAUGGAGAACGGAUGUUAAACGAUGAUGAUGAUGAAAUUAAUUGACCCAAGUAUAUAUUUUUUUUAAAGUUUGGUACUGAUUCCGUUGCUCGAGAUAAUCUCUACCGGCACGGAAGUGCCGUCAGCCGGGCCUGCCCGAGGUGCACCCAGGACGCCGAAACCGUUCUGCACGCACUCGUCCAGUGCCCGAGUAUUGCUGAACUAUGGGUUUACGUCGAACAGCUACUGUCACGUGUAGGACGGAUCCGGCUAUCAGCUGAAUCCAUAGUGAAGAUUGCCCCGCCGACCUCCUUUAACAAGGAGGGCAAGACCAUUUUCCUGUGCCUAGUGGCUGUGGCGAAAGAGGUUGUAUGGUGGACCCGUUUGAAAGGGCUAAAAUCAGACACUUUCCUCUUUGGUCAAGGCCUCAUCAACUUUUUCAAGUUUCACUUGAAAAGGAAGAUGAGGUUAGAGAGGAGAGUGCUGUCUGAUAGCAAGUUUUCUGAGAGGUGGGUGAAUUGUGCAAGAAUGGCCAGUAUAAAUGGACCAAUUCUGAGGAUUCGCCUGUGAUUGAAAAAGGUAUUAUAAAAGGAGAAAGGGGCUCUCUACCCCCCUUUUGACCAGGUUCCCGUGGCUUUUAUGGGUUUUUCCACGUGAGACCUUUUCUUUUUUCGAAGUGUCUCCUCUAUUGGGAGUUUUACGUUGUUAAAAUUUUUGAUUGUUAAACUGCUUUUUACUUGGGUUUUUUUUUCACAAACGGACAAAACCUUUUGUAACCUUUCGUCCUGUUUUGUCCCUUUAUGUUUUCCCAUCGUAUUUGUCAGCCAUUGUGGCCAAUAAAAAGAAUUAAUUAUUAUUAUUAUUAUUAUUAUUACUAUUAUUAUUAAGGCGGUGAGCUGGCAGAAUCAUUAGCACACUGGACGAAAUGCUUAGCAGUAUUUUGUCUGUCUUCAUGUUCAGAGUUCAAAUUCUGCCAAGGUCCUUUCGGGGUCAAUUAAAUAAAUACCAGUUACACACUGGGGUCGAUGUAAUCAAUUUAAUCCCUUCCCCCAAAUUUGAGGCCUUGUGCUUCCAGUAGAAAGGAUGAUUAUUAUUAUUAUUAUUAAGCCUCGCCUGGCCCUCGUGCCGGUGGCACGUAAAAAGCACCAUCCGUCUGUGGCCGUUUGCCAGCUCCGUCUGGCACCUGUGCGGGUGGCACGUAAAUAGCACCCUCUACACUCACGGAGUGGUUGGCGUUAGGAAGGGCAUCCAGCCAUAGAAACUCUGCCAGAUCAGACUGGAGCCUGGUGCAGCCUUCUGGCUUCACAGACCCCAGUUGAACCGUCCAACCCAUGCUAGCAUGGAAAGCGGACGCUAAAUGAUGAUGAUGAUCAUCAUCAUCAUUGAAGCAGUGAGCUGGCAGAAUCAUUAGCACAUUGGCUGAAAUGUUUAGCGGAAUUUCGUCCAUUCUUACAUUCCGAGUUCAGAUUCUGCCGAGGUCGACUUAGCCUGUUAUCCUUUCAGGGGUUUAUAAAUAAGUACCGGUUGAAUACUGGGGUCGAUGUUAUCAACUAGUCCUCUCCCACUGAAGUUCAGGCCUUGUGCCUAUAGUAGGAAGGAUUAUUAUUAUUAUUAUUAUUAUUAUUACCUCCGUUUAUGUUCCGGGUUCAAAUUCCGCCAAGGUCGACUUUGAUUUUCAUCCUUUCGGGAUCGAUAGAUUAAGUACCAGUUGAGUACUGGGGGUCGAUGUAAUUGUAUUAACCCCUCCCUCAAACAAUGUUACGGCCUGGUGCCUGAAGUAGAAAGGAUUAUUAUUAUUAUUAUUUUGAAUAUGGCAAGGGCCAGAAUCGUUAACAUGUCAGACAAAAUGCUUAGCAGUAUUCCAUUUGCAUUUAUGUUCUGAGUUCAAAUUCCGCUGAUGUCAACUUAGCCAGUCAUUGUUUUGGGGUUGAUAAAAUAAGUGCUAGUUGAUCAUGUAAUUAAUUAGCUCGUCCCACUAAUUUCAGGCCUUGUGCCAAAAUUACAGAGAAUUAUUAUUUUUAUUUAUAUAUUACUCUUUUUUUUUUUUUACUUGUUUCAGUCAUUUGACUGCAACCAUGCUGGAGCACCGCCUUUAGUCGAGCAACUCGACCCCGGGACUUAUUUUUUGUAAGCCCAGUACUCAUUCUAUCGGUCUCUUUUGCCGAACCGCUAAGUGACCGUAAACACACCAGCAUCGGUUGUCAAGCAAUGCUAGGGGGACAAACACAGACACACACACAUACAUACAUAUAUAUAUAUAUAUAUAUACGACAGGCUUCUUUCAGUUUCCGUCUACCAAAUCCACUCACAAGGCAUUGGUCGGCCCGAGACUAUAGCAGAAGACAUUUGCCCAAGGUGCCACACAGUGGGACUGAACCCGGAACCAUGUGGUUGGUAAACAAGCUACUUACCACACAGCCACUCCUGCGCCUAUAUACUUACCACGCCUAUAUAUAUGACAGGCUUCUUUUAGUUUCCAUCUACCAAAUCCACUCACAAGACUUUGGUCGGCCUGAGGCUAUAGUAGAAGACUCUAGUCCAAGGUGCCACGCAGUGGGACUGAACCCAGAACCAUGUGGUUGAGAAGCAAGCUUCUUACCACACAGCCACGCCUUUAUUCUCUUUCUCUUUUACUUGUUUCAGUCAUUUGACUGCGGCCAUGCUGGAGCACCGCCUUUAUUUAUUAUCUAUUUUAUUUUAUAUAUUAUUUGUUUUAUUUAUAUAUUUAUUUUAUUUUAUUAUUUUUCUAUUUUCAGCUGCUUCGAAGAUGCCCAAAGAAAAAUACGAAUCUUCAAAUCCACGUCGAAAUUAUAGCAUUAUGUCUUCAGAAGAUUUAGCAUCCGGUAAAAAGUCAGAAUGGUAUGAGCUGGAGAUAUCAGG